rnacentral:rRNA from 1 species
UACGAAGAGGGCUAGCGUUGCUCGGAAUCACUGGGCGUAAAGCGCACGUAGGCGGCUUGUUAAGUCAGGGGUGAAAUCCUGGAGCUCAACUCCAGAACUGCCUUUGAUACUGGCGAGCUUGAGUUCGGGAGAGGUGAGUGGAACUGCGAGUGUAGAGGUGAAAUUCGUAGAUAUUCGCAAGAACACCAGUGGCGAAGGCGGCUCACUGGCCCGAUACUGACGCUGAGGUGCGAAAGCGUGGGGAGCAAACAGG